rnacentral:rRNA from 1 species
CCAAUAGCGUAUAUUCAAGUUGUUGCAGUUAAAAAGCUCGUAGUUGAAUUUCGGGGUUCCACCGUUGGCCAGGCUAUUGUUUGUACUGGCGUGUAGAAUUUCUACCUUCUGGGGAACUAUCAUGUUACUAAUUUAGCGUGGUAGGAAACCAGGCCCUUUACCUUGAAAACAUUAGAGUGUUCAAAGCAGGCUUAUGUCUGAAUACAUUAGCAUGGAAUCAUAAAAUAGGACGGUGGUCCUGUUUUGUUGGUUUCUGAAUCACCGUAAUGAUUAAUAGGGAUAGUUGGGGGCAUUAGUAUUCAAUCGUCAGAGGUGAAAUUCUUGGAUUUAUUGAAGACUAACUACUGCGAAAGCAUUUGCCAAGGAUGUUUUCAUUAAUCAAGAACGAAAGUUAGGGGAUCGAAGACGAUCAGAUACCGUCGUAGUCUUAACCAUAAACUAUGCCGACUAGGGAUCGGACGAUGUUAACUUUUCUUGACUCGUUCGGCGCCUUACG